UUCUGGGAGGAUUGACAGAUUGAGAGCUCUUUCGUCAUUCGGUGGAUGGUGGUGGAUGUCUGUUCUUAGUUGGUGGAGUGAUUUGUCUGGUUAAUUCUGAUAACGAACGAGACUCUAGCCUAUUAAAUAGGUGCGUGAUUCUCUGCACCUUGCGCUCUUCUUAGAGGAACAAGCAGCUCCUAGCCGCACGAAACAGAGCAAUAACAGGUCUGUGAUGCCCUUAGAU
rnacentral:rRNA from 1 species